UACGUAGGGUGCGAGCGUUAAUCGGAAUUACUGGGCGUAAAGUGUGCGCAGGCGGCCGAGCAAGUCGAGUGUGAAAGCCCCGAGCUUAACUUGGGAAUUGCGCUCGAAACUACUUGGCUGGAGUGUGGCAGAGGAAGGUGGAAUUCCAGGUGUAGCGGUGAAAUGCGUAGAGGUCUGGAGGAACACCGGUGGCGAAGGCGGCAUCCUGGACCGGCAUUGACGCUGAGGCGCGAAAGCCAGGGGAGCAAACGGG
rnacentral:rRNA from 1 species